GAUGAACGCUAGCGGCAGGCUUAAUACAUGCAAGUCGUGGGGCAGCAUGAGUAGCAAUACUUGACGGCGACCGGCAAACGGGUGCGGAACACGUACACAACCUUCCGAUAAGUGGGGAAUAGCCCAGAGAAAUUUGGAUUAAUACCCCGUAACAUAUAGAGUAGGCAUCUUCUUUAUAUUAUAGCUUCGGCGCUUAUUGAUGGGUGGGCGUCGGAUUAGGUAGUUGGCGGGGUAACGGCCCACCAAGCCUACGAUCAGUAGCUGAUGUGAGAGCAUGAUCAGCCACACGGGCACUGAGACACGGGCCCGACUCCUACGGGAGGCAGCAGUAAGGAAUAUUGGACAAUGGGCGAAAGCCUGAUCCAGCCAUGCCGCGUGAAGGAUUAAGGGCCUCUGGAUUGUAAACUUCUUUUAUUUGGGACGAAAAAAGGGAAUUCUUUCCCACUUGACGGUACCAAGUGAAUAAGCACCGGCUAACUCCGUGCCAGCCGCCGCGGUAAGAC
rnacentral:rRNA from 1 species